rnacentral:rRNA from 1 species
AGUGAACGCUGGCGGUAGGCCUAACACAUGCAAGUCGAACGGCAGCACAGUAAGAGCUUGCUCUUACGGGUGGCGAGUGGCGGACGGGUGAGGAAUACAUCGGAAUCUACUUUUUCGUGGGGGAUAACGUAGGGAAACUUACGCUAAUACCGCAUACGACCUACGGGUGAAAGCAGGGGAUCUUCGGACCUUGCGCGAUUGAAUGAGCCGAUGUCGGAUUAGCUAGUUGGCGGGGUAAAGGCCCACCAAGGCGACGAUCCGUAGCUGGUCUGAGAGGAUGAGAGGCGACAUUGAGACAGAGAUACGGCACAGGCUCGUACGGGAGGCAGAAGGGGGGAAGAUUGAACAAUGGAUGCAAGGCGGAUGAAGAGGCGCCGCGUGUUGGAUGACGGUUUUGGGGGGGUAAAAAAGUUUCGCUAUGGACGAACCUUGUUGUGACGGUACCUAGAGAAGAAGCACCGGCUAACUACGUG